CCUACGGGUGGCAGCAGUAGGGAAUAUUGCUCAAUGGGGGAAACCCUGAAGCAGCAACGCCGCGUGGAGGAUGAAGGUUUUCGGAUCGUAAACUCCUUUUGUUAGAGAAGAUAAUGACGGUAUCUAACGAAUAAGCACCGGCUAACUCCGUGCCAGCAGCCGCGGUAAUACGGAGGGUGCAAGCGUUACUCGGAAUCACUGGGCGUAAAGAGCGCGUAGGCGGGAUAGCAAGUCAGAUGUGAAAUCCUAUGGCUUAACCAAAGAACUGCAUUUGAAACUGUUAAUCUAGAGUAUGGGAGAGGUAGGUGGAAUUCUUGGUGUAGGAGUAAAAUCCGUAGAGAUCAAGAGGAAUACUCGUGGCGAAGGCGACCAGCUAGAACAUAACUGACGCUGAUGCGCGAAAGCGUGGGGAGCAAACAGGAUUAGAUACCCCGGUAGUC
rnacentral:rRNA from 1 species